GGAUUGUGGCUCAGUGGUAGAGUGCUCACCUAGCAUGUGCAAGGCCCUGGGUUCGAUCUGCAGCACCA
rnacentral:tRNA from 1 species